UACCGCUGUCACCCAGUUCUGGGCGCCCGAGCGCGUCCCCGUCAUCCCGCUUGCCCCCGUCGUGCUCGUGCACCCCCCGUAUCUGCAUCUCUUAGUGGCUUGUGUGUGAAGAGAACUUCCUGAAGAAGUGGUGGAUGCAGAAAGAAGGAACAUUAAUCAUCUAUUGAUGGAGAAUUCUUGCAUUAUGAUCUAGCUCAAAGCAUUAAACCUAAAAGUGAAAACAAUGAUUAUUGGGACUUCAAAGGUCAAUCUUGAAUGGACACACCCCUGCACAUGUGAUAUUUUCAAAAUAGUUCAAAAAAUGUUUUCAAACUGUUUUCUCUUGCAGAUGUAGUUUACACAUAGUUGUGUGGUGGAAAAAAAAUAUGCACAACCAUGAUCUGUAUGUUUAACUGAAAGAAUACUUUCAGGUGCAUAUAAACAUAAAAAAAACAUAAU